rnacentral:rRNA from 1 species
GUAGUCCACGCCGUAAACGUUGGGCACUAGGUGUGGGACCUUUUCAACGGGUUCCGUGCCGUAGCUAACGCAUUAAGUGCCCCGCCUGGGGAGUACGGCCGCAAGGCUAAAACUCAAAGGAAUUGACGGGGGCUCGCACAAGCGGCGGAGCAUGUUGCUUAAUUCGAGGCAACGCGAAGAACCUUACCUGGGUUUGACAUGUAGGGAAAAGCCGUAGAGAUACGGUGUCCUUCGGGGUCCUACACAGGUGGUGCAUGGCUGUCCUCAGCUCGUGUCGUGAGAUGUUGGGUUAAGUCCCGCAACGAGCGCAACCCCUGUCCCAUGUUGCCAGCGGGUAAUGCCGGGGACUC